UUAUAUGACAUGACAUGAAAUGGCAGCAAAAAGAGUUGAUGCAGUAGCUCUAUUUGUAAUUAUUUUUUUAUUAUUUAAAAUUAGGAUUUGUUUCGCAGAAAGCCAGGAGUCUGGACAAUUUCACCCAGUCGCUCACUCACUCUCUCUCGACCUCACCUCACUUCACCGCUCACCUUGCUCUCUCAUCCAGUCAUCCUUGCUCAACAUUGACGCCCAUCUCGAUCGAUUCUCCGAAGCCAAAGUCGUCGAGGACGUUCGAGUGUUGGCCCAUAGGAUCGACGGCCGCCAAGAAGGGUGUCCUGGCUUGACCGAAGCUGCUCGGUACAUUACGGGGCAGUUGGAAAUGAUGAAGGAAUGAGCUGGGUCCAAUGUUAGAAUUGAGAUAAAAAAUUGUUUCUCUUGGUUACAGAAACCACACAAAUAUUGUGAUGAGCAGUUUAGUAAAUUUCACUUCACAUUAAGUUGUAUUCAAUGGAAGGAUAUCGUCAAUAUAUUCACAAGACAAUGAACCAUCAGUUUUGUUAAAGACAUUUUGACAGUCCACUUGCUUCCCCAGGUGCUGCUGAUUGUGGUUCAUGUGUAGCAUCAAUGCUGGAAAUAGCAAGGCUAAUGGUGGAUUCUGGAUGGGUUCUUCCUCGACCUGUUAUUUUUCUUUUUAAUGGGGCUGAAGAGCUUUUCUUGUUAGUAAGUGACUUCCAUAAUAUUUAGUCUGGAAGUUAUUGCAUCAUUUGCUACCAAUUCAGGUUUUAUAAAGUUAUUGGGUCUAAUUGAAAAAGAGCUCGAGGGAUUUGGCAUAAGGUCAGCAACUAUAGCUUUGUUUCUAGUCUGUAAUCUAGAUAGCUUUGUCAUUUUGUUACUUUAGUUUAGCAGAUCUUAAGGCAAUUUAUGCAUUGGUCAGUAUACAUUAGUUACUAUUUCGUGAUUCCUGAUUUGUCUCGAAAUCCCGAAACUAUUUCAGGAUUCCCGAAAUUUGGGAUUCCCGAAAAUUUGGUUUGGGAUCGGUCUUGAAAUUGAGAUUCCCGAAAUCUUCGAUUUGGGAA